UACGUAGGGUGCAAGCGUUAUCCGGAAUUAUUGGGCGUAAAGAGCUCGUAGGCGGUUUGUCGCGUCUGCUGUGAAAACCCGAGGCUCAACCUCGGGCCUGCAGUGGGUACGGGCAGACUAGAGUGCGGUAGGGGAGACUGGAAUUCCUGGUGUAGCGGUGAAAUGCGCAGAUAUCAGGGAGGAACACCGGUGGCGAGGCGGGUAGCUGGGCCGACACUGACGGCUGAGGCGCGGAAAGCCAGGGGAGGCGAACGGG
rnacentral:rRNA from 1 species